CGGACGGGUGAGUAAUGCCUAGGAAUCUGCCUGGUAGUGGGGGACAACGUUUCGAAAGGAACGCUAAUACCGCAUACGUCCUACGGGAGAAUGCAGGGGACCUUCGGGCCUUGCGCUAUCAGAUGAGCCUAGGUCGGAUUAGCUAGUUGGUGAGGUAAUGGCUCACCAAGGCGACGAUCCGUAACUGGUCUGAGAGGAUGAUCAGCCACACUGGAACUGAGACACGGUCCAGACUCCUACGGGAGGCAGCAGCC
rnacentral:rRNA from 1 species